CUCAAGAGAGAUGUACGAGAGGGAGAACAGGAGCUUACGGGAGGCUCGAGACAACGCCGUGCUGGAGAAGGACCGUGCGGUGGCUGCAGAGAGGGACACCCAGUCCAGAUAUGACCAACUUCUGGAGCAUGGUCUUAAGGAGCCACACAAAGACAAAUCAAACCAAACAUAAAAUAAAAGUUUGUCCAAACAUGAAAAAAAUUCAAUUAAAUAAACAUUAUUAUACUAUAAAUCAGCCUAGAUAUUUCUAAUAAAGCUAGAAUGGUGUAAUAAUCUUGGUUUAAAUGAUUUUUGGUGUUUCCUUUGGGGUCUAAAAAGAAAAAGAUAAAUAAACAAUCAUUGGAAACAAUAUUAUAAAAUAAGAGCUAUACGUUAGCAACUGUAACAAUGACCUACACAUGAGUGGACACAAGGAAAGGUAUACAACGAGGAGAACACUCAGCAGUUUAACAAUUAAGUGUGAAAAGAGCUAAAAAGCAGACACUAAGGCCAA